CGUAAGGCAAAAAAUAAAUGCAAAGUUAAUAUCGAAGUAUAAUAUCGAUCUUGACGCGAGAAAUCGAUCACGCGGAGACGAAGCCGCUUCCCGCCGUCUUCGGCUGCGUUCACGUUUCUUUCUCAGAACGCAAAAGAUGCGGGACGGACGGGCUCCAGAACGGAGGCGUUAUCGCGGCUCAUUUAACAGAACGCAAUGGAUGCGGGACGGACGGGCUCCGAAACGCAGGCGUCAUCGCGACUCGUUUAACAGAACGCGGCGAGUGCAGGAUAGAUCGGAGUUGGAGCGAAGGGUGUCGUGAUUCAUUUAACAAAACGCGGCGUACGCAAAAAAGUUCAACUCCGAAACGAAUGGCGUUACGAUUCAUCUAAUUAAUCGUAUAGUAUCGUAUAUACUACAAUUCUAUUAUUGCACAUCGUGGGAAUAUAAUCUAAAGAGAUCUGACAACUCGGAAACAAAUCAGACUUAAGGAAGGUAUCGGGCCUCGGUGGAGCAACUUUGCGAUUCAUCGUAGCGACGUGUGUCUGAUAACUCCACUGUUGCGCAUUGAUCG